AAAAAUUUGGAAAGAUAGGAGAUUCGAACCCGCAACCUCUUAAUUAAGUAUGGGGAGUCUAUGCCAUUUGAGCUAAUUAAUAACCCACUUGGUAUCGCAUCUUUCUCUCCAUUAUUAUUUCUUCCUUUCAUUUCAUCCAUAAUAAUAUAAUUAUUAUUAAGUGCUUGAACCCUACUCCCACCUUCCACCUUCCAUUUCCCCUUUUCCAGAACUGCUUCCCCCCAGUUAACAGGUACCUUCUCAAUUCAACAUUUUCUCAUCUUCUUUCUAUUAAUUAGCAUCAACAAUCAACAAUUCUAUUUGAAGGAAUUAAUUAAUUGUUGCUAAUAAUAAUAACAAUAGUAAUAAGCUGCAAUCAUACGAUAUACUUCUCGUGCAUAUAUUCAAUUUUCCUUGCCCUUAACUAGAAUAAUAAAGUUUAGCCUUUGUUGAAAAAUUCCUCUAUUAUUUGUAUUUUUCUCUAUUAAUUAAUAAAAAGGGUAACCACGAUCGAGUAUUGAAUGCCAUAAAUGUAUAUGAUCUGAUCUCUAAGUUUGCUAUUUCAUUCAUUAAUUACUAUUGUGGUUACGUCCUGAAAUCUGAAGAAUAAAGAUGGCAUGGAUGGCGUAGGUAUAAUAAAUAAAUAGAUAAAUAUAAGAUAGAAGGCAGAGAAUUGAAGAGAAGAGAAGAGAAGAAAAGAGAAAACAAAAAACAAGUUGGGAAGUUGAAAAAAUAAGAAUGGGUUUCGUGGUGGUGGUAUCAUUGCCAUUGAUACUGUUGAUAUUGAUAGUGGCAUUAGCAUGUUAUCUAAUGGGUAGGGCCAAGGGUCGACAACAGGCAUGUGGAUAUCCUCAACAAUAUGGGCCACCAGCCCCUCCACCUCAGGCCCAAUACAAGCAACAAGAGCCCUAAACAUUCUGCCUCUUGCCCCAUUAACAAUCCUGCUCCAAGUGCUGCUUGGUCUCUCUUUUGUAUUAUUCUAUGUGAUAUGUUGUAUAGUUGAACUUAUUGUCUGCCGGAUAGUAUAGUAAUCUUUGUUUAAUAAAAUCAACUAAUUCAAAGAAGCAAACAAAGUAAAUAUUCAAGUUACUACGUCUAUCUAUUUUAUAAGAGUUUAAUUUUGAUGUAAUGUAAAAUAUUUUAUACUAUUAUCUAUUUGUAUUUGUUUUUUUAUAUAACUAUUUUGUAUUUACGCAAUUAAUAUAAAG
rnacentral:lncRNA from 1 species